rnacentral:tRNA from 1 species
AGAGUAAUAGCUCAGUGGCAGAGCACAUGCUUAGCAUGCACAAGGUCCUGGGUUCUAUCCCCAGUACCUCCA